rnacentral:misc_RNA from 1 species
GAUGAAGAACGUAGCGAAAUGCGAUAAGUAGUGUGAAUUGCAGAAUUCAGUGAAUCAUCGAGUCUUUGAACGCACAUUGCGCCUCCUGGUAUUCCGGGAGGCAUGCCUGUUCGAGCGUCAUUAAAAUCACUCAAGCUUAGGUUUACCUAUUGCUUGGUCUUGGAGAUGGAAGCCAAUUCAUUGGAAUCCUCUUCGAAAUCCAAUGGCGAAGACCCUUGCUCUCCCAAGUGUAGUAAUAACUUAUGUCACUGAAGGAAGCGAGAAAUCUUCCGCCGUAACCCCCAUAUUUUCUAUGAUUGACCUCGGAUCAGGUAGGGAUACCCGCUGAACUUAAGCAUAUCAAUAAGCGGAGGA